UGGUUGGAAUGGUCAGCAAAUA
rnacentral:miRNA from 1 species